AACCCACGUAUUUUGAAAAAUGCGGGGAUGAGUUGUGGCUCGGAGUGAAAGGCUAAUCAAGCCCGGAGAUAGCUGGUUCUCCUCGAAAGCUAUUUAGGUAGCGCCUCGGACUUAUACCUACGGGGGUAGAGCACUGUUUGGGCUAGGGGGUCAUCCCGACUUACCAACCCCAUGCAAACUCCGAAUACCGUAGAGUACUAUCCGGGAGACACACGGCGGGUGCUAACGUCCGUCGUGGAGAGGGAAACAACCCUGACCGACAGCUAAGGCCCCCAAUUC
rnacentral:rRNA from 1 species